GAGAACUCGCCGCCGGUUAUGCCGGAGAACUCGCCGCCGGCAGUGAUGUUGGACGCUUCGCCGUUGGAUCUCAGCCUCGGUGGAUCCAGUAGUUUAUUUAGCAACGGUGUGGGUAGGUUUUUGUUCCAGAACCAUCUAUUUCAUGGUUCUCCGGUCGCCGGAGGAAUCGCUGGAGGUGUGACGCCGGUAAAUCAUAUGUACUAUUUGGAAGCUCUGCAACGCGAGCGAAUGAUUUCUUCAUAUCAGAAAAGUUGCCGGAAGACGGCGGAGUUUGUUGCCGGCGUUAGUGGAGGUACCUCCGGCGAGUCCGACUCUUCGUCGGUGAUUGAUUUUAUGGGCCACGAUCUAAAACCCACAACCAGGCCCAUUAAUCUCGACCUCAAUCUUCCUCCGCCAGAAAACAUGUAAAACUCUCUGUUUUAC
rnacentral:lncRNA from 1 species